rnacentral:RNase_P_RNA from 1 species
UGAGUAAGUCGGGUAAUCGCGUGCUUUAGGCAUGAGGAAAGUCCGUGCUCCAUAGAGCAGGAUGCUGGAUAACGUCCAGUGGAGGCAACUCCAAGGCUAGUGCAACAGAAAGAUACCGCCUCGUGUUCAAAUAAUUAUUUGAACACGAGGUAAGGGUGGAAAGGUGAGGUAAGGGCUCACCAGCAAUUAGGUGACUAAUUGGCUAUGUAAACCCCAUCUGGAGCAAGACCAAAAGGGGAUAUAGAAAGGCGGUUGCUCGCCGCCAUCCCAAAAGGUAGGUCGCAUGAAUCUAUUGGCAACAAUAGAUCUAGAUAGAUGAUUAUCCGAGACAGAACACGGCUUAUAGAUUUACUCAACAC